rnacentral:rRNA from 1 species
AUGGCUCCCGUGUUAAACAUUGUUAUAGGCUCUCAUGUAUGGGUGGCAGACAAAGAUUUAACUUGGAUUGAUGGGGAGGUCUUCAAAAUUGAUGGUCAAAAUGCUCAUGUUCGCACAACCAAGGGAAAGACGGUUACUGCAAAUGUAUCAGAUAUACAUCCUAAAGACACAGAAGCACCACCUGAUGGAGUCGAUGACAUGACAAGGUUAUCAUACUUGCAUGAGCCCGGUGUUCUGGAUAAUUUGGCUGUCAGAUAUGCAAAAAAUAUAAUAUAUACCUAUACGGGGAACAUUCUGAUUGCCAUAAAUCCAUUCCAAAGGUUGCCUAAUCUCGUUGACGUCCAGACUAUGGAAAAAUACAAAGGUGCAAAUCUUGGAGAUUUAGAUCCUCAUGUAUUUGCAAUAGCUGAUGUCUCUUACAGGCAAAUGAUGAAUGAAGGAAAGAGUAAUUCCAUUUUGGUCAGUGGUGAAAGUGGUGCUGGAAAGACUGAGACUACAAAAUUGUUGAUGAGAUAUCUCGCAUUUUUGGGUGGUCGGUCUGGAACAGGAGGAAGGACGGUUGAACAACAGGUUUUGGAAUCUAACCCAGUCCUUGAAGCUUUUGGGAAUGCGAAAACUGUUCGGAACAAUAAUUCAAGUCGAUUUGGCAAGUUUGUGGAGCUCCAAUUCGACAAGAGCGGGAAGAUAUCUGGUGCUGCUAUUAGAACUUACUUGCUCGAGAGAUCUCGGGUCUGCCAAACUAGUAGUCCAGAGAGAAACUACCAUUGCUUUUAUUUCCUUUGUUCAGCACCGUCAGAGGAUAUUAAAAAAUAUAAGCUGGGGGACCCAUCUUCAUUUCACUACCUUAACCAGUCAUCUUGCAUCAGAGUUGAUGGAAUCAAUGAUGCUGAAGAGUAUCUUGCGACAAGAAAUGCUAUGGAUAUGGUUGGCAUCACUGAGGAAGAACAGGAAGCUAUAUUCCGGGUUGUUGCUGCUGUGCUUCAUCUUGGUAAUAUUAGUUUUGCGAAAGGGACAGAGGCAGAUUCAUCUGUAAUAAAGGAUGCCAAAUCAAGAUUCCAUCUCAAUACAGCAGGAGAGCUCUUGAUGUGUGACUGUGAAAAAUUGGAGAAUGCCUUGAUAAAGAGGGAAAUAAAUACGCCAGAAGGAGUUAUUACUACUACAGUUGGUCCUAAUUCUGCUACUGUUAGCAGGGAUGGCUUUGCAAAACAAAUAUACUCUCGACUAUUUGACUGGCUUGUAAAUAGAAUAAAUGCAUCAAUCGGGCAAGAUCCAAGCUCAGACAAAUUGAUUGGGGUACUUGAUAUAUAUGGCUUUGAAAGUUUUAAGACUAAUAGUUUUGAACAAUUAUGCAUCAACUUCACGAACGAAAAACUCCAGCAACAUUUUAACCAGAAUGUAUUCAAAAUGGAGCAGGAGGAGUACACAAGGGAGCAGAUUAACUGGAGUUACAUAGAGUUUGUUGACAACCAAGAUGUUCUUGAUUUGAUUGAGAAGAAACCAGGUGGCAUUAUUGCACUUCUUGAUGAAGCUUGCAUGUUUCCAAAGUCGACACACGAGACAUUAUCUCAGAAGCUGUAUGAAAAGUUCAAGAAUCACAAAAGAUUUGCUAAACCGAAACUUUCUCGUACUGCAUUUACAAUCCAACAUUAUGCUGGAGAUGUGAUAUAUCAAUCUGAUCAUUUCCUGGACAAAAACAAAGAUUAUGUGGUAGCAGAACACCAGGAAUUACUUAAUGCUUCCAGGUGCUCUUUUGUAUCAGUUUUAUUCCCACCAGCACCAGAAGAGAACACAAAAUCAUCAAAGUCAUCCUCAAUUGCUACUCGCUUCAAGAUGCAACUUCAUGAACUCAUGGAGACUUUAAGCUCUACAGAACCUCACUACAUUAGAUGUGUAAAACCAAAUAGUGUUCUUAAGCCUGCUAUUUUUGAGAACACCAACGUUCUACAGCAACUUAGAUGCUCGGGUGUUCUAGAAGCAAUUAGAAUCAGCUGCGCUGGAUAUCCUACAAGAAAACUGUUUCAUGAUUUUUUACAUCGUUUUCGCAUUCUUGCUCCUGAAAUUCUAAAAGAGAAAAAUGAUGAAAAGACGACUUGCCAAAAGGUUUUGGACAAAAUCGGACUGGAGGGCUAUCAGAUAGGAAGAACUAAGGUAUUCCUUAGAGCUGGCCAAAUGGCUGAAUUGGAUGCUAGAAGAACAGAGGUGCGAAAUACUGCAGCAAGAGGUGUUCAGAGUCAGUUACGUACUCAUGUUGCUCGUGAGCAGUUCCUAAUACUGCGCAAUGCAUCUGUUUGUUUGCAAUCCUUUGUCAGAGCAAGAUUGGCUUGUAAACUGCAUGGAUUCUUGAGACAACAAGCAGCAGUGCUGAAAAUACAGAAAAAUAUACGCCGUUAUUUUGCACGGAGAACUUAUUCUCAGCUAUGCCUGUCAGCCAUUACAUUGCAGACAGGGUUAAGGACCAUGGCAGCUCGCAAUGAAUUCAAUUCUAGAAAUCAGGACAAAGCUUCUAUCCAUAUCCAGUCCCGUUGGCGUCGCCACAGAGAUAACUUAAGUUAUAUAAAGUUAAAGAGAGCAGCAUUGACCUACCAAUGUGCUUGGAGAGGAAGGGUUGCCAGAAGGGAACUGCGGCAGCUCAAAAUGGCUGCAAGAGAUACUCAAGCUCUAAAGGUGGCAAAGGAGAAACUGGAGGAACGUGUGGAAGAGCUAAUGAGCCGCUUGAGCUUGGAAAAGAAACUAAGGACUGAUCUGGAGAAGUCCAAAGCAACAGAAAUUUCUAAACUGCAGUCUGCUCUUCAUGACAUGGAACAGCGAGUGGAAGAAGCUGCCGCAAUGAAGGAAAACGAAUCAGCUAAAAAAGCUGUUGAAGAAGCUCUAGCUCAAGAAAGAGAAAAGAUCAGUUCAUUGACUUCUGAAAUUGAGGGCCUGAAGGUGCUACUAGUAGCAGAGCGAGAGGAAAAUGAUGUAACAAAGAAAGCACACGCGAAUUCCCAGGAAAGAAAUGAAGAACUGAAUAGGAAAGUCCAGGAUGCAGAUGAAAUGAUCAAGCAGCUUAAUGAUAUCGUGAAGAGACUAGAAGAGACUGUAAGAGAAGGAGAGGCCCUUUUGCUAACAGAGAAGCAGCAAAAGGAAGAAGCUAGUGCCGCACUAGCUGAAUCUCACCUACGAGAUCAAGCUUUUGCGAUCAAAAUUGAAGAGGCUGAGAAACAAAUCACUCUGCUCCAGGAAAAUGUUGAAAGAUUCGAAUAUAGCAUGGCAGAUCUGCAGUCUUCACUGACAAUUGAGAAGCAACAACAUGAGGCAAGUGUGGUAGAACUAGCUGAAGCACAAGGUAAAAUUGAGGAACUUCUGAGAGAAGUUGGGGACGCUGAUGAAAAGUCUACUCUGCUUGAGACUACUGUGCAAAGGCUUGAAGAAAGAUUAACCGAGAAUGAUGCUCUAUCAACUACAGAAAGACAAGAAAAUGAAGCAACUAAGAAAUUACUCAAUGAAGUUCAGGGUAAAAAUGAGGAAUUACUGAAGAAACUUGAAGAUGCUGGAAAAAAUAUUGUUCAUUAUCAAGACACCACCCAAAGACUCGAGGAAAAUGUAGCGGCAGUGGAGGUUUCCUUGAAAGAUGAAAGGCAGCAAAAUGAUGUGAUCAUGAAACAACUAGCAGAUGCCCAGGUAGAAAUUGUGGAGCUACAGAGGAACCUUGAAGGUGCUGAUAAGAGAAACAGUCUGCUUCAAGAUUCUUUACAGAGACUUGAUGAAGAAUCUACCGCAAGAGAUGCUUUAUUGGUAGCUGAAAAGCAAGAAAAAGAGGUGACCAAAAAGACACUAACUGAAGCUCUGGAUCGAAUCGAGGAACUAGUUAAAGAACUUGAGUGUGCUAACAACAGUAUGCAUCAGCUUCAAGAUAGUAUACAAAGACUUGAACAAAGUGCGUCUGCAAGAGAGGCAGUUUUACUAACAGAGCAUCAGGAGAAAGAUGCGAAAUCUAAAGCACUAGCAGAGGCAGAAGCGAGGAUUGAUGGUUUGCUGGAGGAAAUUUCUUCUGCUAAUAUAAAUAUUGAUCUACUUCAAAAAACUAUGAAAAGGUUAGAAGAGGGUGCAACAACAACAGAUGCUCUUUAUUUAGAAGAAAAGCACGCACACGAUCAAACCAAGAAAGUGUUCUCAGAAGCUCAAGAAGUAAAUCAGGAGUUGCUUAGGAAAGUUGAAGAAGCUGAUAAAAACAUUGGUCAUCUUCUAGAGAAUGUGGAAAGACUUGAAAAAGAUGCAAUGACAAGAGAGUCUUUGCUUCUUAAAACAAAGCAAAGUUACGAUGACACCAUAACUGAGCUAUUUGAAGCUCAGGAGACAAAUCAACAGUUAACGAGCAAAAUAGAGGACUCGGAUAACAAAAUCGGUCUGCUUGAAGUUUCGGUGAAAAGACUUGAAGAAAGUACAUCGGUCAUGGAUUCUCAAUUGGCAAUAGAAAGACAUGAAAACAGCAAAUUAAGGAGCGAACUAUCUGAUGCUCGCCUAAGGAUCGAUGAAUUACUAAAUGAAGCGCAAGAUAACCAUGCAAGUCUAGCAGAGCGUGAUGAUAUGAUAAAGAGGCUUGAAGAAAAUGUCAGCACAAAGGAGACUUUGUUGCUAACUGAAAGAGAACAAAAUGCUUCAACCUCAAAACUGCUUGCAGAAGAACAGUUGAAAAUUGCUGAAUUAAUAAAGAAUAUUGAAGAGGCACAUAGAAAAUCUGACAGCCUUCAGACUACAAUAGAAAGGCUUGAAGAAGAUGGCACUGCCAAAGAUGUCUUGCUGCUAACAGAAAAGCAAGCACAUGAGGCAACUCGGAAAACUCUAGUUGAAGCUCAGGAAAGAAAUGAAGAAUUGCUCAAGAAAAUUCACGAUGAUGAUAAAAAUAUUCUUCAGCUUCAAUUUACUAUACAGAGGCUUGAAGAAAAUACAGCUACAAAGGAGAAUUUGUUGUUGAGAGAAAGAGAACAAAAUGAUGCAACAACGAAGUCGCAAAUUGAGAGCCAAGAAAGAAGUGAAGAGUUACUAAAGAAAUUUGUGGAUGUUGACAGGAAAAUUGAUCUUCUUCAAGAUAGCAUAGAAAGGCUUGGAGAAAGUUCAACAACAAAGGAUGCUUUGUUACUAUCUGAGAGACAAGAGAAGGAUGCAAUGAAGAAAGAACUUGCUGAAGCUGGAGAGAAAAAUGGAGAGUUACUAAUGAAAAUUGAAGACACUAAUGAAAAAAUUGAACAUCUUCAGAAUACCAUAAUUAAGCUUGAGGAAGAUAUAGCAGCAAAAGAUGUUUCGUUAGAAGCUGCACGGCAAGAAAAUGACUCAAUCAGAAAAUCUCUUACUGAAGCUCAAGAAAGAAAUGAGGAAUUACUCAGAAAAAUUAGUGAUAAUGAGUACCGGAUCCACUUACUUCAAGACACAGUGCAAAAGAUUCAAGUAGAUGCAAUAUCAAGAUUGUCUUCGUUUGUGAUGGAAAAACAAGACAGUGAUGUUGCCAAGAGAGCUCUUACUGAAGCUCAGGAAAGAAACGAGGAUUUAUUGAAGAGAAAUGAAGACCUCCUUAACAGGAAUAAUGAUUUGGUUAAAAAAAUUGAGGAGUCAGGCAAAGUUAUAACUCACCUUCAGGAGUCCCUACAAAGAAUUGAAGGAAAAGCAGCCAACUUAGAGGCUGAUAAUCAUGUUCUCCGUCAGCAAGCAGCUGCUACUCCACCUUCUACUGCCAAAUCUCCACCCUCACGUUCAAAGAUCACAAGGAUUCAUAGAAGCCCAGAGAAUGGGCAUGUUUUGAACGGUGAACUAAGGCAGGCUGAGAUGAGGCCAUCAGCUGGCAUGCCAGAAGCAACACCCCCAAUAGGCAAUGCUCCCAACUCGAGUAAUCAAAAAGACUUUGAACACGGAGAAAAACUGCAAAGAGUGCUUAAUCAGAAACAUCAGCCCCAGCAGCCCCAAGAUGACCAGCAGUGGUUACUUACUUGCAUUCCACAAUAUCUCGGAUUUUCUGGGAGCAAGCCUGUUGCCACUCUUCUUAUAUACCAGUGUCUUCUUCACUGGAGAUCAUUUGAAGCCAUGAAGACUGGUGUAUUUGACAGAAUUCUGCAUGCUAUAAACUCUGCAAUAGAGGCUGAACAUGAUGUGAGAACAUUGGCAUAUUGGUUGUCCAACUUAUCUGCAUUAACAGUUCUCCUUCAACGAUCAUUCAAAACUACUAGGACCGCACUCUCAACCCCGCAAAGGCGAAGAUUUUCGUCUGAGAGGACAUUUCAUACAAGUCAAACUUCAAAUGCUGGGCUUGCUUAUCUCGGCGGGCAAUCAGUUGUUGGAGCUACCGGAUUACCCCAAGUUGAAGCAAAAUAUCCAGCUUUGCUCUUUAAACAGCAGCUUGUGGAUCUAAUUGAGAAGGUUUACGGUAUGAUAAGUGACAGCGUGAAGAAGGAACUAAACCCUUUACUUGAAUUGUGCAUCCAGGAUCCACGAACUUCUCACUCAAAUCUGGCAAAAAGCAAUACAAAUGGCUUGGGACAACAGAACCAAUUAGCACAUUGGUUAAACAUCGUGAAAGUCCUCGCCAACUAUUUGGAUGUAUUAAAGGCGAACCAUGUCCCAUCAAUUUUGGUGCAUAAAUUGUUCGUACAGAUAUUUUCACUGAUUGAUGUUCAGCUAUUUAACAGGCUCCUUUUGCGGCGUGAGUGCUGUUCAUUUAGCAACGGGGAAUAUGUCAAAGCUGGACUAGCUGAGCUAAAACACUGGUCUGAUAAUGCUACUCGAGAGUUUGCAGGUUCGGCCUGGGAGGCAUUGAAGCAUAUCAGACAGGCUGUUGAUUUCUUGGUGAUUUCUCUUAAGCCAAUGAGAACACUAAGAGAGAUACGUGCUGAUGUGUGCCAAGCCCUCAGCAUACAGCAGCUAGAGCGCAUAGUUGGUAUGUACUUGGAUGACGUCAAUGGUUCAAACACUAUUUCAGCAGAGUUCGCAUCAAGCUUGAAAGCUGCAGCGCGUGAGGAAGCAAAUACUGUCACAACUUUCUCUAUACUGCUAGAUGAUGAUUCUAGUAUACCUUUUUCACUCGAUGAUAUUACAAAGACAAUGCCAAUCAUUGAGAUGGCUGAUGAUGACUUGCUACGGUUUGUCCGUGAAAACCCAGGCUUUGCGUUUUUGUUGCAAAGAGGGGAAUAG